UGGGGACACUGUUGGGACCGCCUCUGCUAAAGAGGAGGAAGGAAUGGGCAACGGUAGGUCAGCAUGCCCCGAAUUAUCCGGGCUACACGCGGGCUACAAUGGUCAGGACAAUGGGUAUCAACACCGAAAGGUGAAGGCAAUCUCCUAAACCUGUCCUUAGUUCGGAUUGUGGGCUGCAACUCGCCCACAUGAAGCUGGAAUCUGUAGUAAUCGCGUCUCAAAAUGGCGCGGUGAAUAUGUCCCUGCUCCUU
rnacentral:rRNA from 1 species